rnacentral:rRNA from 1 species
CGCUGGCAGCGUGGAUUAGGCAUGCAAGUCGAACGGGAAGCCGUGAGUUCAAUCCUUCGGGAGAGAUCAUGCGGUGGAGAGUGGCGUAAGGGUGAGGAACGCGUGGGUAAUUUGCCUUCGAGUUGGGGACAACCCUCCGAAAGGAGGGCUAAUACCGAAUAUGGUCUCCUGUCGCAUGGCAGGAAGAUUAAAGGUGGGGACCCUUCGGGGCCCAUCGCUUGAAGAGAAGCCCGUGUCCCAUCAGCUUGUUGGUGAGGUAACGGCUCACCAAGGCUUACGGGUAGCUGGUCUGAGAGGAUGAUCAGCCACACUGGGACUGAAACACUGCCCAGACUCCUACGGGAGGCUGCAGUCGAGGAUCAUUUGGGAGGCGCGGAAGCGUGACAAUGCGACGCUGCGUGAAGGAUGAAGGCCUUCGGGUCGUAAACUUUUGUCAUUCGGAAACAAAGGCAAUAGGGUUAAUACCCCUAUUGAUUGAGGGUACCGAAAGAGGAAGCCACGGCUAACUCUGCGCCAGCAGCCGCGGUAAUACAGAGGUGGCGAGCGUUGUUCGGAUUUACUGGGCGUAAAGGGUGCGUAGGUGGUUUUGUAUGUCGGAUGUGAAAGCCCAUGGCUCAACCGUGGAAGUGCAUCUGAAACUGCGGAACUAGAGUGCAGAAGGGAGAGCGGAAUUCUUGGUGUAGCGGUGAAAUGCGUUGAUAUCAAGAAGAACACCGGCGGCGAAAGCGGCUCUCUGGAAUGCUACUGACACUGAGCACGAAAGCUAGGGUAGCGAACAGGAUUAGAUACUCUGGUAGUCCUAGCUGUAAACGGUGUGAACUUGGUGUANGGGGAAUUGACCCCCCUGUGCCGAAGCUAACGCAUUAAGUUCACCGCCUGGGGAGUACGACCGCAAGGUUAAAACUCAAAGAAAUUGACCGGGGGCCCGCACAAGCGGAGGAGCAUGUGGCUUAAUUCGAUGCAACGCGAAGAACCUUACCAGGGCUUGACAUGCAGCUGCAAACCUCCUGAAGGGGAGGAAUCCUUCGAGGGUGCUGUGCAGGUGCUGCAUGGCUGUCGUCAGUUCGUGCCGUGAGGUGUUGGGUUAAGUCCCGCAACCAACGCAACCCUUAUGUUUAGUUGCCACCCCCGAUUUAUCGGGGAGCACUCUAGACAGACUGCCCGUGCAAGCGGGAGGAAGGUGGGGAUGACGUCAAGUCAGUAUGGCCCUUGCGCCCUGGGCUGCACACGUGCUACAAUGACGGGUACAGAAGGACGCAAUACCGCGAGGUGGAGCAAAUCCUCAAAACCCGUCCCAGUUCGGAUUGGAGUCUGCAACUCGGCUCCAUGAAGUUGGAUUCGCUAGUAACGGCGUAUCAGCAACGAUGCCGUGAAUACGUUCCCGGGCCUUGUACACACCGCCCGUCACAUCAUGAAAGCCGUCUGCACUCGUAGUCGUUGAUCCAACCUGCAAAGGAGGAAGACGCCGAAGGUGUGGGUGGUGUUUGGGAUG